CCUACGGGUGGCAGCAGUGAGGAAUAUUGGUCAAUGGGCGCGAGCCUGAACCAGCCAAGUAGCGUGAAGGAUGACUGCCCUACGGGUUGUAAACUUCUUUUAUAAAGGAGUAAAGUGAGGCACGUGUGCCUUUUUGUAUGUACUUUAUGAAUAAGGCUCGGCUAACUCCGUGCAAGCAGCCGCGGUAAUACGGAGGAUCCGAGCGUUAUCCGGAUUUAUUGGGUUUAAAGGGAGCGUAGAUGGGUUGUUAAGUCAGUGGUGAAAGUUUGCGGUUCAACCGUAAAAUUGCAAUUGAUACUGGCAGCCUUGAGUACAGUUGAGGUAGGCGGAAUUCGUGGUGUAGCGGUGAAAUGCGUAGAGAUCAAGAAGAACACCGAUUGCGAAGGCAGCCUACUAAACUGCCACUGACAUUGAUGCUCGAAAGUGUGGGGAUCAAACAGGAUUAGAUACCCCAGUAGUC
rnacentral:rRNA from 1 species